rnacentral:rRNA from 1 species
UACGUAGGGACCGAGCGUUGUCCGGAAUCAUUGGGCGUAAAGAGCGUGUAGGCGGCCAAUUAAGUCCUGCGUGAAAUCUCGGGGCUCAACCCCGAGCGGUCGUGGGAAACUGGUUGGCUAGAGUGCGGGAGAGGAGAGUGGAAUUCCUGGUGUAGCGGUGAAAUGCGCAGAUAUCAGGAAGAACACCCGUGGCUAAGGCGGUUCUCUAGUACGGUACUGACGCUGAGACGCGAAAGCGUGGGGAGCGAACAGG